rnacentral:rRNA from 1 species
CACGGCGCACGGGCGCGAAACACGUGGGCAAUCUGCCCUUCGAUGGGGAAUAACCUCCCGAAAGCGAGGCUAAUUCCGCAUAACAUUCCUUGGACCUCGGUUCGAGGACUCAAAGCCGUAAGGCGUCGAAGGAGGGGCCAGCGCACGAUUAGCUAGUUGGUAGGGUAACGGCCUACCAAGGCUUUGAUCGUUAGCUGGUCUGAGAGGAUGGCCAGCCACACUGGAACUGAGACACGGUCCAGACUCCUACGGGAGGCAGCAGUGGGGAAUCUUGCACAAUGGGCGAAAGCCUGAUGCAGCGACGCCGCGUGGGGGAUGAAGCAUCUCGGUGUGUAAACCCCUUUCGACCCGGACGAAUGCCUCGCAAGAGGAGUGACGGUACGGGUAUAAGAAGCCCCGGCUAACUACGUGCCAGCAGCCGCGGUAAGACGUAGGGGGCCAGCGUUGUUCGGAAUUACUGGGUGUAAAGGGUUCGUAGGCGGUGUGGCAAGUUGGGAGUGAAAUCUCUGGGCUCAACCCAGAGGCUGCUUCCAA